AUUGAACGCUGGCGGCAGGCCUAACACAUGCAAGUCGAGCGGAUGAAGGGAGCUUGCUCCUGGAUUCAGCGGCGGACGGGUGAGUAAUGCCUAGGAAUCUGCCUGGUAGUGGGGGAUAACGUCCGGAAACGGGCGCUAAUACCGCAUACGUCCUGAGGGUGAAAGUGGGGGAUCUUCGGACCUCACGCUAUCAGAUGAGCCUAGGUCGGAUUAGCUAGUUGGUGGGGUAAAGGCCUACCAAGGCGACGAUCCGUAACUGGUCUGAGAGGAUGAUCAGUCACACUGGAACUGAGACACGGUCCAGACUCCUACGGGAGGCAGCAGUGGGGAAUAUUAGGCAAUGGGCGAAAGCCUGAUCCAGCCAUGCCGCGUGUGUGAAGAAGGUCUUCGGAUUGUAAAGCACUUUUAGUUGGGAGGAAGGGCAGUAAGUUAAUACCUUGCUGUUUUGACGUUACCAACAGAAUAAGCACCGGCUAACUUCGUG
rnacentral:rRNA from 1 species